CCUACGGGAGGCAGCAGUAAGGAAUAUUGGACAAUGGUGGCAACACUGAUCCAGCCAUGCCGCGUGCAGGAUGACGGUUCUAUGAAUUGUAAACUGCUUUUAUACGGGAAAAACCCUCAAGACGUGAUUUUGAGCUGAUUGUACCGUAAGAAUAAGGAUCGGCUAACUUCGUGCCAGCAGCCGCGGUAAGACGAAGGAUCCAAGCGUUAUCCGGAUUUAUUGGGUUUAAAGGGUGCGUAGGCGGACUCAUAAGUCAGUGGUGAAAUCCCAAAGCUUAACUUUGGAACUGCCAUUGAUACUGUAAGUCUUGAGUAUGUUUGAAGUGGGCGGAAUGUAUUGUGUAGCGGUGAAAUGCUUAGAUAUAAUACAGAACACCAAUUGCGAAGGCAGCUCACUAAACCAUAACUGACGCUGAGGCACGAAAGCAUGGGGAGCAAACAGGAUUAGAUACCCUGGUAGUCCAUGCCUAACGAUANAUACUACGUAUAUGUGCGAUAUACAGUACGUGUCUAA
rnacentral:rRNA from 1 species